rnacentral:rRNA from 1 species
AACGAACGCUGGCGGCAUGCCUAACACAUGCAAGUCGAACGAGACCUUCGGGUCUAGUGGCGCACGGGUGCGUAACGCGUGGGAACCUGCCCUUAGGUUCGGAAUAACUCCCCGAAAGGGGUGCUAAUACCGGAUAAUGUCUUCGGACCAAAGAUUUAUCGCCUUUGGAUGGGCCCGCGUUGGAUUAGCUAGUUGGUAGGGUAAAAGCCUACCAAGGCGACGAUCCAUAGCUGGUCUGAGAGGAUGAUCAGCCACACUGAGACUGAGACACGGCCCAGACUCCUACGGGAGGCAGCAGUGCGGAAUAGUGGACAAUGGGCGAAAGCCUGAUCCAGCAAUGCCGCGUGAGUGAUGAAGGCCUUAGGGUUGUAAAGCUCUUUUACCCGGGAUGAUAAUGACAGUACCGGGAGAAUAAGCUCCGGCUAACUCCGUG